GUGUAUCAUAUAAUGCCUAAGCUCUAAACUAUACAAACAUAUUUACAAAUGAUUUAUGCUCACCGUUGCUGAUAUUACUAAUGUUGUAAUUAUUAUAAUACGAUUCAUAUUUUUUACCUCUGCUUAUGUUCCUCAGUCGAUAUUAAUAAUUGUUACUAUUUUUGGUUGUAUUCAAAUUUGCCGUUCGAUAGUGUUUCGUCGCACCAUAACUACUCUCGAACGUUACCGACUUAAUUUCAACAUUUUUUUUCCUCGGAGAAUAACUUAUUGUACGUAGUGCAUAAACAAACACUUAUUUAUAUACACUUACUUCACACACGAUGGAAAACGUUGAAAAGUAUAUUCCUGUGUGCGAGUGUGAAGGCGAAGAUUUUAUGGAGAUACCACUGGAAAGCGAUGGUACCCUAUCAACGGCCACUCUGAGCGCGUAUUUUCCUGGAGUUACUGGUCUCAAAUUCCGCCUUGAUUCUUAUUCACCAUACAGAGCACUCAGAUUAUACGACGGUAAAUUUCAUGCGCCCGAAGGCAGCUGGGCUGGUCACAAAUUCUACUGUGUACAUCCCAAAGGCGACAAAAGGAAACUUGAUGAAAUAGACACCAAACCAUCCAAAGGUUAUAACAUUAUGAUGUGUACAGAUUUGAUUGUUUUGGGCUUACCUUACCAAUUGACAGAAACUCAAAUGAGAGAAUAUUUUGUACAGUUCGGAAAACUAGUCAUGGUUCAGAUUAAGCGAGAUGCAUCUGGGAAUUCAAAAGGAUUUGGUUUUAUUCGCUAUGAAGAUUAUAGUUCUCAAGCAAAAGCUCUUGGACAACGACAUUAUGUUAAUAAUCGAUGGGUUGAAGUCAAAAUACCUGCUUCAAAAGAAGGAUAUUAUUCUAAAGUACCUCACAAGAUAUUUGUUGGUCGUCUCACUGAAGAAAUUAGUGAACCAGAUUUAAGUACUUAUUUCUCUCAGUAUGGUGAAAUCACUGAUGUGUUCAUACCAAAACCAUUUAGAGCAUUUGGUUUUAUAACUUUUAAUGAUGCUUCAGUAGCACAAAGUCUUUGUGAUGAAGAUCAUAUCGUUAAAGGCGUAUCACUUCAUAUAUCUGAAGCUAAUCCUAAAUCUGACCAAAGCAGGGAUAAACAAGUUAAUAGUCAACAACAGUAUAUGAGUAAUGUUCUGACAAAUGGAAUGCUGGCUGCUGCACUUAACCAAGUUGCAUAUCAAACACAACCAAUCUCUUACCAAACCCAUCGUGCAUAUGGGAAAGUACAAGACUGGAAACGUCGGGCAGUUUACGACAUGUGAGCGAGAGCGUGUGGUAUUUAUAUGAUGAUUGAUGGAUGUAUCAGCCUAGACAUCAGUAUUAAAAGAUCAUACAAAUUCUGAAACCUUGAGUGCAAUUUCUUUAUUAACUUAGGUUAUGUUAUAGUUACUAUAAAAUCCUAUUUUGUAAAAUCAAAGUAAACAACUAUUAUAUUGGUUUUACAAUUGUACCUCUGUUUUCUGUAUUCUGUAAUAUAAUAUUGACUUUAAAUAAAUAUAUAUAAAAUGAA